rnacentral:rRNA from 1 species
UGGGGAAUAUUGGACAAUGGGCGCAAGCCUGAUCCAGCCAUGCCGCGUGAGUGAUGAAGGCCCUAGGGUUGUAAAGCUCUUUCACCGGUGAAGAUAAUGACGGUAACCGGAGAAGAAGCCCCGGCUAACUUCGUGCCAGCAGCCGCGGUAAUACGAAGGGGGCUAGCGUUGUUCGGAUUUACUGGGCGUAAAGCGCACGUAGGCGGACUUUUAAGUCAGGGGUGAAAUCCCGGGGCUCAACCCCGGAACUGCCUUUGUUACUGGAGGUCUUGAGUAUGGUAGAGGUGGGUGGAAUUCCGAGUGUAGAGGUGAAAUUCGUAGAUAUUCGGAGGAACACCAGUGGCGAAGGCGGCUCACUGGACCAUUACUGACGCUGGGGUGCGAAAGCGGGGGGAGCAAACAGG